rfam:Gallionellales bacterium RBG_16_56_9 RBG_16_scaffold_120438, whole genome shotgun sequence.
AAAGUCCGAUACAAGAAAGGAGUAGCGAACCGUCUUGACCCCGAGUCAUGCGUUUUACAUCGCGAGGUGUAGGGCGAAGCGUUGACAGGGGACACCGACAGGCCAGCCAUUGAGCCGCGAAAUGGGUAAAUCCGGGAUGCCGAUGCCAUGGCAAUGGACAGAAGGCAAUACACAGCAAGGCGCUACACGCGAGCCUUGCUGUGAUCCUGCGCGGUCGGAGACCC